UACGUAGGGGGCAAGCGUUGUCCGGAUUUAUUGGGCGUAAAGAGCGUGUAGGCGGCCGUACAGGUCAGCUGUGAAAACUCGAGGCUCAACCUCGAGACGUCGGUUGAAACCGUACGGCUAGAGUCCGGAAGAGGAGAGUGGAAUUCCCGGUGUAGCGGUGAAAUGCGCAGAUAUCGGGAAGAACACCCGUGGCGAAGGCGGCUCGCUGGGAAGGUACUGACGCUGAGACGCGAAAGCGUGGGGAGCGAACAGG
rnacentral:rRNA from 1 species